AUACGGAGGGUGCAAGCGUUACUCGGAAUCACUGGGCGUAAAGCGCGCGCAGGCGGGCUGAUAAGUUGGAUGUGAAAGCCUACGGCUCAACCGUAGAACUGCAUCCAAAACUGUCAGUCUAGAGUGUGGGAGAGGAAGAUGGAAUUAGUUGUGUAGGGGUAAAAUCCGUAGAGAUAACUAGGAAUACCAAAAGCGAAGGCAAUCUUCUAGAACACUACUGACGCUGAGGCGCGAAGGCGUGGGGAGCAAACAGGAUUAGAAACCCUAGUAGUCC
rnacentral:rRNA from 1 species